AGAAUCAACGCUGGCGGCGUGCCUCAGACAUGCAAGUCGAACGCGAAACGGUUCCUUCGGGAACCGAGUAGGAGUGGCGCACGGGUGAGUAACACGUAGGUAAUUUGCCUUUGGGUGGGGAAUAACAGCCGGAAACGGCUGCUAAAUACCGCAUAAUGCAGCGGCUCGACAUCGAGACAGUUGUUAAAGCGGGGGAUCGCAAGACCUCGCGCCUAAAGAGAAGCCUGCGGCAGAUUAGCUAGUUGGUAGGGUAAUGGCCUACCAAGGCGACGAUCUGUAACCGGCCUGAGAGGGCGGUCGGUCACACUGACACUGACAUACGGGCCAGACUCCUACGGGAGGCAGCAGUCGGGAAUUUUGGGC
rnacentral:rRNA from 1 species